AAACAUGAAGUGGGAUGGAUUACUACCGAUUUACCGCUGCAUCAAGAUCUCAUUUACACAGUAUGAAAUAGGGCAUUUUCAAUUGGUAAGUAAUAUAAUUACACAUCACGCUUUGAAAUUCGGCAAAUUGGAGUUUUAUUUCCAAGUUCCGACACAUAUAAGGAGUUCAUCUGUACACUGAAAACGAUGACAUCCGAUCCAAGGACUAGCAGCAAGCCUAAAUCUUGCACCUCCUGGAGCAAUAGCACAUAAGCUCUUUGAUUCUGAGAUGUGACAAGAAAUAGCUGAGCUUUACUGGUGCCACAACACCCUGAGCACCGGCCGGUUUGAAUGGCGUCAGGCGACCUUGCGGCUCCCUUAUUUCAGGAACUACAUAAAAGGCAGAGACAACAUCCCGAGGUCCGAGGACGUUUGUGCUCGGUGCUCAUUGAUCACUCACCAAGAAAGCAUUAGCAUCGGCUUUACUGGGUGGGCUUAGCUCCCGCUCAAUCUCUUCCAGGGAUCGCCCCUUGGUCUCGACCACAUUCCCGGCAAUGUACAGGACCGCGAGAGCACACACGGACGCGAAUCCCAAGUACACGGUGCUGAUCCCAAACUUGUUGACGACGCUCAGGAAGUACAGGCCGAUGAAGAAGUUUGAU
rnacentral:lncRNA from 1 species